AGCGAACGCUGGCAGCAGGCCUAACACAUGCAAGUCGAACGAACUCUUCGGAGUUAGUGGCGGACGGGUGGGUAACACGUGGGAACGUGCCUUUAGGUUCGGAAUAACUCAGGGAAACUUGUGCUAAUACCGAAUGUGCCCUUCGGGGGAGAGAUUUAUCGCCUUUAGAGCGGCCCGCGUCUGAUUAGCUAGUUGGUGAGGUAAAGGCUCACCAAGGCGACGAUCAGUAGCUGGUCUGAGAGGAUGAUCAGCCACAUUGGGACUGAGACACGGCCCAAACUCCUACGGGAGGCAGCAGUGGGGAAUCUUGCGCAAUGGGCGAAAGCCUGACGCAGCCAUGCCGCGUGAAUGAUGAAGGUCUUAGGAUUGUAAAAUUCUUUCACCGGGGACGAUAAUGACGGUACCCGGAGAAGAAGCCCCGGCUAACUUCGUGCCAGCCGCCGCAGUAA
rnacentral:rRNA from 1 species